UUCUGGCUUCUACGUUGAUCCAAGCUUCUUUCUGUAUCAACACCAGAGCGGACGAGGGGUGCUUGAGCUUGCUCAGGAGGUCUUCGCUCAUGGAUGGAUCUCACCCAAGUCCGGAAACCCAAAGGUCUUGGUAUUCGAGAUCUCGUCCACGCGAGCUCUUCGCGAGAGGGUCAUUCCCUUCUUCGAGCGGUACGUCGUACCGUUCAGUUGCAAGAGAGUGACGUUCGAGCGAUUUCGGGAGAUCGUUGGAAUGAUGAGCCGCAAGGAACAUUUGACACCGACCGGUCUUGCCCGGAUCGUCGAGAAGGCUUACGCGAUGAAUCCGGACAGCAAGGGAAAGGCUCGGGCGCGGCCGCUGGAAGAAGUGCUUGCGAGAAUCCUCAGAGGCCAUACGUCGGACAUCCCUGCCUCGGGAUGAAGAUAUGGUCCAGUCCUCAUGGCGACAUGAGGGAUAACUGCCUAAGGUAGCGAAAUUCCUUGUCGGGUAAUUGGAAUUGCCCGAGCUGGAAGCAAUUCCAGCGGACAACCGGCUAAUAACGGGGAAGCCCUCCUCGUACGCGACGCGUCAAGGACGUCGUAAUAGCGAAAGGGUAAUCCCGUGGGAAGUCGACUCAGAAGAGUUUGACCCCGUAACGACUGAUCGUUCUUUGGAACGUGAGAUCGGGCUUACUGCUUCGGCAAAUCUAUGAGCUCGAUCAGACGCCGGCCCCUGGUUUCGCCAGGGUGAAGGGAUAGUCUGCACCUCUGGAAACAGGGGAUAAACGCGAAGUUCCGACCUGCACGAAUGGCGUAACGACUUGGGCGCUGUCUCAACGAGGGAUCCGGUGAAACUGUAGUCUCGGUGAAGAUGCCGAGUACCCGUGGUUGGACGGAAAGACCCCGUGCACCUUUACUGCAGCUUGACAUUGGAGUCUGGGAUGCGUUGUCCAGGAUAGGUGGGAGGCUGUGAAGCGGCGACGCUAGUCGUCGUGGAGCCAACCUUGGGAUACCACCCCUCGUGUUCUGGGCUUCUAACCCGAUUCCGUUAUCCGGGUCGGGAACAGUGUCAGGUGGGCAGUUUGACUGGGGCGGUCGCCUCCUAAAAUGUAACGGAGGCGCGCAAAGGUUCCCUCAGCACGGUUGGAAAUCGUGCGCAGAGUGUAAAGGCACAAGGGAGCUUGACUGCGAGACUGACAAGUCGAGCAGGUGCGAAAGCAGGCCUUAGUGAUCCGACGGUAGAGAGUGGAAUUGCCGUCGCUCAACGGAUAAAAGGUACUCCGGGGAUAACAGGCUUAUCCUUCCCAAGAGUCCACAUCGACGGAAGGGUUUGGCACCUCGAUGUCGGCUCGUCGCAUCCUGGGGCUGGAGUAGGUCCCAAGGGUUGGGCUGUUCGCCCAUUAAAGCGGUACGCGAGCUGGGUUCAGAACGUCGUGAGACAGUAAAACCUUGCUGUCUAUAAAUCUGGCUGUUUGCUGGAAACUCCGAGUAUCCCGCGCUACUCGCCGUCGACCAGGCGGCAGUGAAAAUGCGUCGGGUGCGGACAAUCAGCAGGGAAGUCCUCUGGCGCCACGGCGCCAUGACCCCUCAGAGACUGUACGCCGGACAGGGCCCGAGGGCCCGGAAGAUACAGUCCGAGCUGCAUGGCGACAUGCAGAGUCAGGCAGAAAUGACCUGGCCCCCGAGCGAGUCCGCUCGGGAGUAACAAAACUGUCGGUCCCUAUCCAC
rnacentral:rRNA from 1 species